CGCGGCGGGGACUGGGCGGCACAGGCGACGGCCGCUCCUCCGGUCUCUGCAGCACACCCGCAACAGGGCCCGAGAGCCCGGCUGGGCUGUUGCCCCGCUCCGCCUCCCGCCCCCCCGGAGGGCGGGGCAAGAGCCCGGGCUAGUCCUUCCCGGGCUGGCGGCGCCCGCAGAGCUUCCGAAAAUCCCCCGUCCCCGCCCCAGCUGACGCAAGAAGCUUGUGGCCCAGCGAAGGGCCGCGGGUGGGGGUCCCUGCGGACGCGCGGGCGGGAUGCCGGGAGGAGGGCUGCUUUGGCUUCCCGGCCCCUGUGUUCGAUCCUUCCCUCCCCGCCGUAAAUAAAACCUAAACUCUCGGCCCGCGAGAUUAAGAGUUGUUUGCAGAAGGUCGUUCGGUUCGGGCGCUUUGAAACAGUUUAAACAGUUGGAACAAACACUCCUGGAGACCCGGGAGAGGCGCGGGUGUCGGAGCUGCGCCUCCCUGAUUCGGGGUUGCAGAACCUUGCCCGGCUUUAUCUCACUCCACCGCCAGAGACUGGCGCCAGCCCUGGGGGCGGAGGCUAAAUAUUUGGACCCAGGCCGCGCGCGACGCGAAAUGCCCUCGCGCCCUCCGUCCCUUCCUGGGCCGGUGCCAGUGGGACUUGCCCAGGGCAGCGGUGGACCGCGCGGGGAGCUCGUGCUCGCAGUCACCCUGAACGCCCUCCGCUUACUCCCACGCACUGGCACUCUGGCUGGCCCAGAUCGCCGCGGGCAACCGAGGAGGCCUCUUUUGCUCGGAGAAUGGUUCUUGGAAUUAUGCAAAGCCAGGUGAAGUAGGCAGUGCUGUCAGAGGUUUUACUAUUUCAUUCAAAAACCUGACAGAAAAAAAAAAAAGCCUGACUUCAGCAGAUCAACGCCCAAAAUACUGCAAAGAACUUACUUUCUCUUGGUUGCAUAAUUUGACACUCCCAGGAUUUAUCUGUAAAUAUAUAUGUUCAAAUAUUCCUUGAGAAGUCAGCCAUCAUGUAAGAAGUCUAGCUUCAUGGGAAGAGAGGCCAAGGAGAAAACCUAGGGGGAAGAGGUUCCUGGUGGAGAGGAAGGCUAUGUGAAUCAAAGCACCAGACGUGAGUGAAGAAAACUUCUUGGAACCUUCCAGCCACCUAGUCAAGCCACCAGAGAAUUCUAGCCCCAGCUCCUAUCUAAUGCCAUCAAUGAGAGACUCCAAGCAAGACCCUGGAUGGCUGCCUGGCUGAGUCUAAUCAGCCCAAAGAAUUGCAAGAGAUUAUAAUCAAUUGUUUUCAGGCACUAAAUUUUGGGUGUGGCUUGUUUCUCAGCAAUAGAUAACGAAGACAAAGUUU